rnacentral:rRNA from 1 species
UGGGGAAUUUUGGACAAUGGGCGCAAGCCUGAUCCAGCCAUGCCGCGUGUGUGAAGAAGGCCUUCGGGUUGUAAAGCACUUUCGGCCGGAACGAAAUCGCCUUUGUUAAUAGCGAGGGUGGAUGACGGUACCGGAAGAAGAAGCACCGGCUAACUACGUGCCAGCAGCCGCGGUAAUACGUAGGGUGCGAGCGUUAAUCGGAAUUACUGGGCGUAAAGGGCUCGUAGGCGGCCAACUAAGUCAGACGUGAAAUCCCUCGGCUUAACCGGGGAACUGCGUCUGAUACUGGAUGGCUUGAGGUUGGGAGAGGGAUGCGGAAUUCCAGGUGUAGCGGUGAAAUGCGUAGAUAUCUGGAGGAACACCGGUGGCGAAGGCGACAUCCUGGACCAAUUCUGACGCUGAGGAGCGAAAGCCAGGGGAGCAAACGGGAUUAGAUACCCGAGUAGUCCCUGAGCGGGCUGGCAAGGCG